GCCGGGCGUGGUGGCGGGCGCCUGUAGUCCCAGCUACUCAGGAGGCUGAGGCAGGAGAAUUGCUUGAACCCGGGAGGUGGAGGUUGCAGUGAGCCGAGAUCGCGCCACUGCACUCCAGCCUGGGCAACAGAGCAAGACUCCGCCUCAA
rnacentral:SRP_RNA from 1 species